rnacentral:rRNA from 1 species
UACAGAGGGUGCAAGCGUUAAUCGGAAUUACUGGGCGUAAAGCGUGCGUAGACGGUUAUUUAAGUCAGGUGUGAAAGCCCCGGGCUCAACCUGGGAAUUGCAUUUGAGACUGAAAUAGCUAGGGUGCGGUAGGGGAGACUGGAAUUCCUGGUGUAGCGGUGAAAUGCGCAGAUAUCGAGAGGAACACCUGCGGCGAAGGCGGGUUGCUGGGCCGACACUGACGCUGAGGAGCGAAAGCGUGGGGAGCGAACAGG